UACGGAGGGGGCUAGCGUUGUUCGGAAUUACUGGGCGUAAAGCGCACGUAGGCGGCUUUGCAAGUCAGAGGUGAAAGCCCGGGGCUCAACCCCGGAAUUGCCUUUGAGACUGCAUCGCUAGAAUUGUGGAGAGGUAAGUGGAAUUCCGAGUGUAGAGGUGAAAUUCGUAGAUAUUCGGAAGAACACCAGUGGCGAAGGCGACUCUUUGGCCUGUAACUGACGCUGAGGCGCGAAAGCGUGGGGAGCAAACAGG
rnacentral:rRNA from 1 species